rnacentral:lncRNA from 1 species
UCAUCCUUUUUUAUCCCUCUACUAGAAUUUACAUCAACCUAAUCACACUUGAAAAGAGUAACUUUCCUCUCUCCAUAAUAGUCUAGUUCAAUAAUAUCCGUUAACCUUCCAAAGUAUGAAAUAUCUCUUGAAACAGGAUUUUUAUUUUUAGCACUGGCGAAACUUGAAGUUUUAGCUGUAACAACCACAAUGCUAUUUUGAGUUUUGCUUUUCAAUUCAAUUUCUUUUAUUCGAAACCUAAACCCAU